rnacentral:sRNA from 2 species
CUGGAAGAAUGGUACACGUGGGAGAGAGCAUUUACCGUCCAUGUUAAACGCCAGUCAAAGAUGACUUUUAUUUUUCCACGUUUCCCCGCCCUCUAAUUUUUUUGGCCUCUUUCGCCAUUCCCACCCUCUUCCCAAGAAAGCUGCAUUCCCAACAAAAACCACCACCCAUCGAACAUAGCAGGAUCCCAAAGAAAAAAUGGCCAAUAGGAAGACAUCCGAAUUAACACCCAGGUCAUCCGUAUCCGACCUAUGUAUACAGACAAAAUGCAAUUGAUAUGUCGAAUCAAAAGAAAAAGAAAAGGAAAGGCGCAGAAAAGAGAAUAACACAGGAUUGAGAAAAAGAAUAAAGGAUAUUUCCGUCAGCCGUCAUACUCCCCU